GUCCCGCCCGCUGCUGGCACUACGCCGGGUGUAAGGCCGAGGCGGGGACUGUCGGGAAAGUUCGGCAACACUGCCACCACCGCGUCGGGAGACGCUCACCCUGGGCUGUCCCCUCCUCACCCGGCGCGCUCUGGCCCUCAACAGGACCGUGACGGCUCGAGCGAGCGCACUGGGGUGGACCGCUUCACCCUCGGUAAAGCACGCUCAGGACAAGCCAUGAUGGUGGACUUGCAUGGCCAAAGUUCCCUCCUCCUGUUAAAGAGAUGCCAAAGCGGUCACAUUUCUGUUGUCCAUUUUCGGACAAUUCAACUGCAGCAAGAGGAGCAUAAACCUAGGCUGGAGAUUUAGCUCAGUGGUACUGCGCCUGCCUUGCAAGCACAAGGCCCUGAGUUCAAUCCCUGGUACCACAAAAAACAAAACCAAAACAAGAGGAGCAUAAACCUUCAGUGGAAUUUCAUAAAAAAAUACAUUGAGAUGUGGACUGGGGAUAUAGCUCAGUGGUGGAACACUUGCCUCCUUCCUCCUAAGGCCCUGGGUUAGCACUGAAACAAAAAGCAACAAAAAUCAGGCAGCUAGCCGGGCAUUGCAUUUAGCUCAGUGGUUCCGCCGCCUGCCUCCCAAGCACAAGGACCAGAGUUCAAUUCCUGGUACCAAAAAAAAAAAAAAAAUCACACAGCUGCCCAGGCCUCCUAUGCCAAGAUCCUGUGGGCCAUGGAGUUCCCUCCAGCCACAACCUGGACCUUCAGAAUCAAUAGCCAGGGUCCAGAUGGAAGGUGACAAGGGGCCAAGAGCUCACUGGCAGGAGGGGGAGCAGCCACACUGGGGUCACUCCCGGCAGAAGUGGCCUCCAGUGAAGAGCUUGGGGCCUUCCUGCCCUCCAGGCUAGCUGUCUGCCUUCUUCAUGCAGUGGAAGAGGUUACAGAAGAGCUCGUACCAGAAAAACACAAAGCCUGUGGAGAUGGCAGCCUUUAGCAGGCUUGGGGACAGACCCUUGAAGAAGCCUCGCCCGCCUUCUUCUCGCAGCACCUGCUUGAUGCAAUCCAGGAGGCCCGUGUAGCUCCGCACCUAGGGAGAGGAAGGCCAGGUUGAGGAAGGAGUUGGUGAUUAAAACAGGGAUGCAGGGCUGGAGAUUUAGCUCAGUGCCACCACCUGCCUCGCAAGCGCAAGGUCCUGAGUUCGAUCCCUGGUACCAAAAAAAAAAAAUAGGGAUGUACCUGGCACACCACAGCUCCCAGUAAAUACUUGCUGCUGAAGGAAAGAACACAAAAUGGACAGCAAAUAAAUUACUCUUGUUCUGUCUAUUCCAA